ACUUUUAAAGGAAAAGUAAAUCCAUUGGUCUUAGGAACCAAAAAAUUGGUGCAACUCCAAGUAAAAGUA
rnacentral:tRNA from 1 species